rnacentral:rRNA from 1 species
CUUCUUGCUCUUUCCGCCUAUAUACCGCCGUCGUCAGCUCACCCUCUGAAGGUUUAACAGUAAGCACAAUGACUUUUCCCCAGUACGUCAGGUCGAGGUGUAGCGAAUGAAGUGGGAAGAAAUGGGCUACAUUCUCUCUACAGAGAAGAUACGAACAGAAGCAUGAAAAACUUCUUAAAGGUGGAUUUAGCAGUAAGUAAAACUUAGAAUAUUACACUGAAGCCGGCUCUGGAGUGCGCACACACCGCCCGUCACUCUCCUCGAGAAUAACUACCCAUUUUUAUAAAAAGAAUUAAAAACAAGAGGAGGCAAGUCGUAACAUGGUAAGUGUACCGGAAGGUGCACUUGGACUAAC